UACGUAGGUGACCAGCGUUGUCCGGAUUUACUGGGCGUAAAGAGCGCGCAGGCGGUCGUUCAAGUCGAGUGUGAAAGCCCCCGGCUCAACUGGGGAGGGUCAUUCGAUACUGAUCGACUUGAAGGCAGGAGAGGGAAGUGGAAUUCCCGGUGUAGUGGUGAAAUGCGUAGAUAUCGGGAGGCAAGACCAGUGGCGAAGGCGACUUCCUGGCCUGUUCUUGACGCUGAGGCGCGAAAGCUAGGGGAGCAAACGGGG
rnacentral:rRNA from 1 species